AACGCACAUUGCACUCUAUCUCGGUAGAGUAUGCCUGUUUGAGAAUCUAUAGUAUUCUUUUUCCUAUGAUUGACUUUUAGUUAAUUCAUAGUGAAAGAUUUGUAAAAUCUCAUAUUUUUUAUGAGUUUUAUUAAAUAGAUUGCUUUGUUUUCUAUAGAAAUGUUUGAAGUUCUCUAUAAAAAACUUUGCAGAAAAGUAUUUGAAUGGAACGAAAGUUUCUCCCUAUACUGAUUAAGCAAAGAGAGAAUUAGUUUCUAUAGGUUUGAAUAAAGUUCAUAACCAUUAAAGAUAGUAAAAUAUCUUGAACCAUGGUCUCAAAUCAGGUAGGAUUACCCGCUGAACUUAA
rnacentral:misc_RNA from 1 species